rnacentral:ncRNA from 1 species
CUAAUGGGAAUGAAGUUCUCCCAAGGGAAACCUGAACCGCUUUAAGCUGAUGACUUCUGCGAA